CGGACGGGUGAGUAACGCGUGAGAAUCUAGCUCUAGGUCGGGGACAACCACUGGAAACGGUGGCUAAUACCGGAUGUGCCGGAAGGUAAAAGGCUUGCUGCCUAGAGAUGAGCUCGCGUCUGAUUAGCUAGUUGGUGUGGUAAGAGCGCACCAAGGCGACGAUCAGUAGCUGGUCUGAGAGGAUGAUCAGCCACACUGGGACUGAGACACGGCCCAGACUCCUACGGGAGGCAGCAGUGGGGAAUUUUCCGCAAUGGGCGAAAGCCUGACGGAGCAAUACCGCGUGAGGGAGGAAGGCUCUUGGGUUGUAAACCUCUUUUCUCAAGGAAUAAGAUAUGAAGGUACUUGAGGAAUAAGCAUCGGCUAACUCCGUGCCAGCAGCCGCGGUAAUACGGAGGAUGCAAGCGUUAUCCGGAAUGAUUGGGCGUAAAGGGUCCGCAGGUGGCAUUGAAAGUCUGCUGUUAAAGAGUGAGGCUUAACCUCAUAAAAGCAGUGGAAACUACAAAGCUAGAGUGCGUUCGGGGUAGCAGGAAUUCCUGGUGUAGCGGUGAAAUGCGUAGAGAUCAGGAAGAACACCGGUGGCGAAAGCGUGCUACUAGGCCGUAACUGACACUGAGGGACGAAAGCUAGGGGAGCGAAUGGGAUUAGAUACCCCAGUAGUCCUAGC
rnacentral:rRNA from 1 species